rnacentral:rRNA from 1 species
UACGUAGGGUCCGAGCGUUGUCCGGAAUUAUUGGGCGUAAAGCGCGCGCAGGCGGUCCUUUAAGUCUGAUGUGAAAGCCCACGGCUCAACCGUGGAGGGUCAUUGGAAACUGGGGGACUUGAGUGCAGAAGAGGAGAGUGGAAUUCCACGUGUAGCGGUGAAAUGCGUAGAGAUGUGGAGGAACACCAGUGGCGAAGGCGACUCUCUGGUCUGUAACUGACGCUGAGGCGCGAAAGCGUGGGGAGCAAACAGG